rnacentral:rRNA from 1 species
GACGAACGCUGGCGGCGUGCUUAACACAUGCAAGUCGAACGGAAAGGCCCUUCGGGGUACUCGAGUGGCGAACGGGUGAGCAACACGUGGGUGAUCUGCCCUGCACUUUGGGAUAAGCCUGGGAAACUGGGUCUAAUACCGAAUAGGACCACGCGCUUCAUGGUGUGUGGUGGAAAGCUUUUGCGGUGUGGGACGGGCCCGCGGCCUAUCAGCUUGUUGGUGGGGUAAUGGCCUACCAAGGCGACGACGGGUAGCCGGCCUGAGAGGGUGACCGGCCACACUGGGACUGAGAUACGGCCCAGACUCCUACGGGAGGCAGCAGUGGGGAAUAUUGCACAAUGGGCGCAAGCCUGAUGCAGCGACGCCGCGUGAGGGAUGACGGCCUUCGGGUUGUAAACCUCUUUCAAUAGGGACGAAGCGCAAGUGACGGUACCUAUAGAAGAAGCACCGGCCAACUACGUGCCAGCAGCCGCGGUAAUACGUAGGGUGCGAGCGUUGUCCGGAAUUACUGGGCGUAAAGAGCUCGUAGGUGGUUUGUCGCGUUGUUCGUGAAAACUCACAGCUUAACUGUGGGCGUGCGGGCGAUACGGGCAGACUAGAGUACUGCAGGGGAGACUGGAAUUCCUGGUGUAGCGGUGGAAUGCGCAGAUAUCAGGAGGAACACCGGUGGCGAAGGCGGGUCUCUGGGCAGUAACUGACGCUGAGGAGCGAAAGCGUGGGGAGCGAACAGGAUUAGAUACCCUGGUAGUCCACGCCGUAAACGGUGGGUACUAGGUGUGGGUUCCUUCCUUGGGAUCCGUGCCGUAGCUAACGCAUUAAGUACCCCGCCUGGGGGGUACGGCCGCAAGGCUAAAACUCAAAGGAAUUGACGGGGGCCCGCACAAGCGGCGGAGCAUGUGGAUUAGUUCGAUGCAACGCGAAGAACCUUACCUGGGUUUGACAUGCACAGGACGCCGGCAGAGAUGUCGGUUCCCUUGUGGCCUGUGUGCAGGUGGUGCAUGGCUGUCGUCAGCUCGUGUCGUGAGAUGUUGGGUUAAGUCCCGCAACGAGCGCAACCCUUGUCCUAUGUUGCCAGCGGGUUAUGCCGGGGACUCGUAGGAGACUGCCGGGGUCAACUCGGAGGAAGGUGGGGAUGACGUCAAGUCAUCAUGCCCCUUAUGUCCAGGGCUUCACACAUGCUACAAUGGCCGGUACAAAGGGCUGCGAUGCCGUGAGGUGGAGCGAAUCCUUUCAAAGCCGGUCUCAGUUCGGAUCGGGGUCUGCAACUCGACCCCGUGAAGUCGGAGUCGCUAGUAAUCGCAGAUCAGCAACGCUGCGGUGAAUACGUUCCCGGGCCU